UGUGGUUCUGUGCUGUUCUCUGGGCUCUGCCACCAAAUACAGCAGCUGAGUGACCUAUCACUGAGAAAGACACAGUUCAUAAGACUAAGAGAGAAAGGUGAGGGUAAAGGGCCUUCUGUCGCUCCUGAGGGGGAAUCAGAGGAGAGAAUGAGGAAAACAGAUGGCUGUGAAUAAACAACCAGAGAAGAGCCUUGAGGUUGCUAGAUUCGGGUCAAGGUGUACGACUUCCCGUCCUGUGCUAGGGGCUAGGAAGACAAAGAGAAACAGAGUCACAUCCUCCCACAAAAAUCCAUGAGAUGUCGGAGAGCCGAACUUGUAAACAGCCAUCAUCAACACAAAGAAGGAUGCACUGAUGCUCUCUAGAGGCUCACAGGAAAUGAUUCAUGGGCAUAGAGAUGUGGAACCUACGGACAUGGAGGGCCAACUUCACAUAUAAUGAAAUAUUAUUUGGCCGUAAAAAGGAAGGAAAUCCUGCCAUUUAUGACAACAUGGAUGGACCUGGAGGACAUUAUGCUAAGUGAAAUAAGCUAGACACAGGAAGCCAAAUACUGCCUCAUCUCACUUCUGUAUAAAACCUAAACUAGUUAAACACAUAGAAGCAGAGAAUAGAAUGGUAGUUGCCAGGAGCUGGAGGGAAGGGGAAAUGGGGAAGUAUUGGCCAAAGAGUUCAAUUUGUGUAAAGUUUCAGUGUGCAAAAUAAGUAAAUUCUGGAAACCUCCUGUGCGAUAUAGGGCAUAUGAUUAACACCACUAUAUUGUGUUUUAAAAAAUUUGCUAAGAAGGUAGAUUAAGAAAAACAAAGAAAACCAAAAAACCCAAAGGCAGCAGAAGGACACUUUUGGAGAUAAUGGAAAAGUUUAUGGCAUUAAUAUUGGUAGUGAUGAUGGUUACAUGGGUGUAUGCUUAUCUCCAAACACAUCGAGUUGUAUACAUUAAAUAUCUAUAGCUUCUUGUAUGUCAAUUAUAUCUCAAUAAAGCGGUUUAA
rnacentral:lncRNA from 1 species